AGUGAACGCUGGCGGUAGGCCUAACACAUGCAAGUCGAACGGCAGCACAGUAAGAGCUUGCUCUUACGGGUUGCGAGUGGCGGACGGGUGAGGAAUACAUCGGAAUCUACUUUUUCGUGGGGGAUAACGUAGGGAAACUUACGCUAAUACCGCAUACGACCUACGGGUGAAAGCAGGGGAUCUUCGGACCUUGCGCGAUUGAAUGAGCCGAUGUCGGAUUAGCUAGUUGGCGGGGUAAAGGCCCACCAAGGCGACGAUCCGUAGCUGGUCUGAGAGGAUGAUCAGGCACACUGGAACUGAGAGACGGUACAGAGUCCUACGGGAGGCAGCAGUGGGGAAGAGUGGACAAUGGGCGCAACAUGAUCCAGCCAGACCGAGUGGGUGAAGAAGGCCUUCGGGGUGUAAAGACCUUUUGUUGGGAAAGAAAAGCAGCAGGUUAAGACCACGCGGUUCUGACGGUACCCAAAGAAUAAGCACCGGCUAACUUCGUG
rnacentral:rRNA from 1 species